GUCAGGAUGGCCGAGCGGUCUAA
rnacentral:piRNA from 5 species